AGUGUACUCAUCAUCUUAGUUUUACCUUUCUUUAUUAUCUUCAUCUUCUUGUUAUCUCUUUUACCCCAACAAGCAUUUUAAAGGUCAACUAGAAUUCUAAUACACACUAUUGAGAAUAUUGGAAAACUAGGGUGAAAAUGGAGAAGCAAAGGAAAGAUGGAGAGGCAGAGGCAGUCCCAAUAGUGAUAGAUGGCAUGGUUUUGGACAUUCAAGCCACUUCUUCAAUUCCUCCACAUCCAAGAACCACUUGUCUUGGCCAGAAAUUUGUUGUUGGAGCAUUGGAAAUCUGCAAGACUAUGGACAGAAGAUCAAGAACCCGAAGACAAACGUGAAAAAGAGAAAUUAGCUUAAUGGCCCCUGAAUUACUACAACUUCCACAAU